GGAGGGUGCAAGCGUUAUCCGGAUUCACUGGGGUUUAAAGGGGGUGCGUAGGCGGGUAUUUAAGUCAGUGGUGAAAUCCUAGAGCUUAACUCUAGAACUGCCAUUGAUACUAUUUAUCUUGAAUAUUGUGGAGGUAAGCGGAAUAUGUCAUGUAGCGGUGAAAUGCUUAGAUAUGACAUAGAACACCUAUUGCGAAGGCAGCUUACUACGCAUAUAUUGACGCUGAGGCAACGAAAGCGGUGGGGAUACAAACAGGUAUUAGACUACCCUGGUACGUCCACCGACCCUAAACGAGUGGAUACUCGACAUACGCGAUACACUGUGUGUGUCUGAGACGAAGCUAUUAAGUACUCCCACCGUAGGAAGUACGACCGACGUAGGU
rnacentral:rRNA from 1 species